rnacentral:rRNA from 1 species
GUCGAGAAUCUUUCACAAUGGGGGCAACCCUGAUGGAGCGACGCCGCGUGGAGGAUUAAGGUUUUCGGAUUGUAAACUCCUGUCAUGCGAGAGCAAAGCCCGCGAGGGUCUGAUAGUAUCGCAAGAGGAAGAGACGGCUAACUCUGUGCCAGCAGCCGCGGUAAUACAGAGGUCUCAAGCGUUGUUCGGAAUCACUGGGCGUAAAGGGUGCGUAGGUGGCGUGGAAAGUCAGAUGUGAAAUCCGGGGGCUCAACCCCCGAAUUGCAUCCGAUACUACCGUGCUAGAGAACUGAAGGGGGAUCUGGAAUUCUCGGUGUAGCAGUGAAAUGCGUAGAUAUCGAGAGGAACACUAGUGGCGAAGGCGAGAUCCUGGGCAGUAUCUGACACUGAGGCACGAAGGCCAGGGGAGCGAACGGGAUUAGAAACCCUAGUAGUCC